CCACCACAUUAAACUGCCGUCCCCUGCGUCUACGUCACUCCCCAAAAAUAAGCAAAACAAGAAAAUCAAGUAAUUCUCAUACAAGAAACCAAAGAGCAGAGCUAUGUAGCCAUGGAAAUGAGUGGAACUUCAAAUCUGAAAUCAGAUGUAGGAGAUGGUGUAGGUACACAGUUGCGGAGGCAAUGGAAGAGAUGGUGUUGAGACGGUGGUGAGGACGUUGGCGACAAGGAGGUGGCUGAACUUGAAAGCGGUGGAAAAGCGUUUGAGGCAGGGAAGAGGCAGUGAUACAACAGGUAGUGAUCCUAUCACCGAAGAUGGAGGGUGGUCUCAAAUUAGAUUUGGAAAAAUAUUAGACAAAAACUUAACAAUGCAUUUGUAAUAUCAAAAAUAUCCCAAGUGACAAUCAAUGUGCUACCUCUUUUGCACAAAUAGCUAUCCAUGUGACAUAAUAACAGCCAAGUCUUCUUCUCAAUAAAUAUGAAGUUGACUACAUGAUCUUUUCCAACCAUUGUAUUCAGUCCAUUGCUAGAUGUAUAUAAAGAUAUACGACAAUUGCGCGCCAAAGAAAGGUGUAUCAGGGUUCAUGUCAUAAAAUGGUUACUACCAUUGACACUAAAGGCACGUUCAAUAUGAUGGACGGAACAAAAUUGGGCACAAAAUCAACAACGCAUAUGUAAUACUAAAACUACCCUAAAUAGCCAUCCAUGUGACACAUCCAAAAGAAAUUUGUAUUAAAAUUCAUGUCAAAAGACAAUUGGCUGACAAUAAUGUCAACUGGGAUCCUACUCAGUCCUCACUGUAGAAAAAAAGCCAGUAUAUAAAAUUACUGAUAAGCAGGUGACAGAAAUAAGUGAUAUUCAAGUAAUUAAGUUAUGCCCCAUUCAGUAUACCAUGAACCAAGAGUAAGAUUUCUAUCUUCAUCACAGCAGAAGAAAUGAAAUUUGCAUAGUUAGGAUCGAACAUGAGAAUGCAUCGGCAUGCUAUCUAAAGAUGC
rnacentral:lncRNA from 1 species